CUACAGUUAAGAAAAUAAUGGUGUGCAAUGGCUGCAAACAGUGGCUUCCUCAGUAAUAUAGGCAGUCUGUUGCUUGUUUGGGUUGUCCUAAGGGACCUUAGAGACCACA
ensembl:snoRNA SNORA70 Small nucleolar RNA SNORA70